CCGCCGCUGACCCGCCGCCUCCGUCUGCCUCCUCCCGGGCUCUGGGCCCAGCGCGCCCAGAUGCCGGGCAGGACCCCUCCGCCCGCUGCUGGAACACCAAUAGCAGCGUUGGAGCCUCUGGGCCGGAGGAACUGGGGCCUCCACCGACACCUGCUUCUUCCCUCACCUCGCAGCCUUCCACACCUGUUGAUCUGACCUCUGCCCCGCUGCCGCCCAGGAGUAACCUAAGGCUUUUGGCCUGAUUCGAGCUCACUCCGUCUAAACCUCUAAAUGCGGUGCGAAAAAAUCCUGGGGAAUGUGCCAUGCAAAGCCUGGGCAUUUCAAGUGCUUUUCUGGAUUCGCAUCAACUCCUCUUUACAGGCAUCUUUAUCCGGAAUUCAGCUCGUCCCAAACCCCACGUGGUGUAGCUCUGCUUGUGUUUUUGAAUCCCGGGGCCUCUUUGAAUCAGAAGCCCUUUGUAUAGAGAUAAGUAUCCUUUAGGCCAGAAUCAGCCUCCAUUUUUUUCGCAGUCCCAUUUCCUACCCGUAAUACUUUCUUCUGAUUUUAAAGCCAUUUGAUAGAGAAGGGACAGGGAACAGAACCUUCGCCCCCCGCCUGAGCAGCUGGUAGACUAGAUAUCUUCCAAACAUUAUCUCAUUUACUUCCCUGGAGUUACAAAUAGGUAGAUUUCAUGUCCGUUGAGGGGUGAGAAAGCUGAAACUUUGAGACUUAAGAAUCCUGGCCGAGGUCAGCCUCCUCCGAAGCUUCAUCUCUUGCCACCACUUUCUGGUGCACACCUAGGACAGAUUUCAAUCCCUGAGAUCCCAGGAUGAAACCUAUGUUUGCCAAAUACCAGCUACUGUGCCAGAAGAGAUCAUGGAACCAGGUGUGGAAAGCUGCUUGAGAAGAGGAGCCAAAACAUCAUAGUUGAACCGUCCUGGAAUAGAAACUCGCCCUGAAUUCUUUCUUGUGUGAAAUCCAAGAGCCCUCUCUUGGGGUUGGAUCGGGACCCUGUUCCUGUAACAAGUCCACAAUGCCAGAGAAUUAAAGAGAACCACAAAGAGCAAAGGGAAAAACAGCUAAGUGUUUCCUGGCUGAAUUUUAUUUUGCUUUCAGUUUCUGCCAUUUCAGUUCCUGUUAUCGUGCUUUGAGGUGCACUGAACUGCAGCAAACCCAGGGGAUCCAAGGCUACGUUGAAAAGCCUUUGACCACAGUGCAGGGAGCAGAAGACAUUAAUGACGUGAUGUCGACACAGCCCGCACUCAGGAUCCUCCAGGAAAAGAACACAGAGAUAACCCCGGAUCGAUGGUACUUUUUGAAAAUGCUUUAUUGCAAAAGAGUGGCUAGGGUUUUACAAGGGCUAUGAAGAAACAUAUUAAGGUUAAUAAAGCUUUUUAUUGAGUGUUU
rnacentral:lncRNA from 1 species